AACAAAUGAAAAGAUAGAGCCAUUUUUCUCUGAAGUUCAUACAUCAGUAGGCUGGCAUAUAGGUUGCUGUUAUUUUCUUCUGAAGUUUAAGUUGUGUAGCUUCAGUUCACAGGGUUUUAAGAAAGCACAGCUUACCACACGUCAGGAAACUGUACAGGAACUGUGUGGAAAGGCAUGAGGCCAGCUUUCCCAAGGGGCUUUUAUGACUCUGUAAGUCAACUUUGAUUCCUUAAAGCAGUUGAUUUAUAUCUGAAAGUAAGCCAUUCCAAUCAAAGCCUUGGUAAAAUAACCAGUGUCUUCAAUUGUAUCCUGUUACAAAAGAAAACAGAUUCUUAUUGAACUUAUGCAAAUAACUAGACUGCUAUAAAUUAAGUAUACUUGCUAAUAGUUUUCAAAUUCUGGAGAAUUCAGGUAGAGGAAUAUGCUUCAGAUUUUGCUCAC
rnacentral:lncRNA from 1 species